AGAUGUUGGAGGAGAACAUGGAGGCGGAGCUGAGGAGGGCGGAGUCCAUGGAUGACAUCACGGCGGCAGCGACGGCCCCGAUGCCGAUGAUGGAGACGUAGGAGGGGGUGAGGUGUGUUUAUCGAGGGAUUCAGGAAGACCUGUGAGCACCCCAAUCCAAAUUAUAAGCUGAGGGAAAAUUGUGCCUCAAAGAUCAAGAGGGUAACGCCAUUUUUGAACUACGUGGCCAAGAAUGAGACCUACCAGUCCUCUCUCAUUUUCCUGACAGUCCAUGACAAAAUAAGGCACGACAGCCCCCACCAAGACAGACGGGAUGCCCAGCACCAGGCAGAAAGCUGAGGAGGCGAAGCAGGUGACCUGAGCCUGGGUGUAGGACGACGCUGACAGGAUCCUCUGGUAGAAGGCCUGAUAGGCCAGGCCUCC